GUUUCGCAGUUGCUGCUGACACGAUCCCAUCUUUCAAACCGCACUGCGGGCGCCGGGGGAUCCAGAAGCCACAUCCCUGCUGCCAGCGGUGGUGCUGCGGAGGCGGGGAUGCUGCGUGCGUCCCCGUGUGACAUUUGUCACACUGCUGGGAGCCUGCUGGGGUGAGCCGAGCGGGCUGGAAGUGCUGCAGCUGGGAGAGCACCGGGCUGACUCACUGCAGUGUCAGGUCUGUCACUUUGCAGCGGGGCAGCUGUAAUUAUGCUGUGGGAAGCAGAGCUCACUUCGCCGAACCCUGAGCGGAUUAAGGAUCCUCCGUGCCUUUUCCCACCCCUCUCUGCCAGGGAAGGCGAUGCCUGGAGGAGCACCGAGGGGAUGAAGCAGCCUGCAGGAGAUCUGCUGCCUUCUGUCCCUGCUGGAUACACGGCACGGGCUCUGCUUGCUGCUAGAUCACCCCUUCCCACCACCACAUCUGCGACACCGGGAACUUCUGCAGAGCACAGCUACAUGCAGGGUGCACCCAGGCACACGGGGGAGGUUUGUGCAAGGCAGCAGCUUCCAGCCCGAGCUGCCUUGUGUUCUGUGUGCAGCAGAGAGGUGUAUCAUUAAUCUAUUAAUUAUUCACACCGCGCCAGACGGGCGCGCGGAAGAUCAGACGGGGAUUGCUGGCUCCCAGCGAGCUCCUCGACUCUCCUUAUGUCAAGAACUGCUCUUCAGUCACAGGCACGUUGUCACCGGCCACCUGCAUGUGACAGGGCAAUCUUUGUUAAAAUCCCAAUUAGCAGAUAAUAAGGGCAGCAUGAAACAAUCUCUCAAGCCAGAUUGGCGCCCGCCCUCCUAUUCUUUUCAUUUUUUUUGUCCUUUCCCUCUCUAAAAUAAAUAUUUCUCACCAAAACCUGAGGGCAAGAGGCAGCUCAGGUGAGUGGAGGAGGGACAGAGCAGAAGGGUGAAGGAUGCUGGAGGGAAGCCCUGCAUAGAAUCAUAGCAUUGUAGAGUCAUAGAGAUGUAGUAUCAUAGAACCUUAGAGCUGUGGAAUCAUAAUGCUAUAGAAUCAUAGAGUGCUAGUCAUAGAACCAUGGAAUCAUAGA